CCGUCCUCCUCCGGGGCAGGGGGCGGGCGCCGCCGCCAGGGGCUGGGGGACCCCGCGCAGGGUCCCAACUCGCCGGGCCUCGUUCCUGUGGGGACCGCGACUCGGGCCUGGUCCCUCGAGCAAAAUCCCGGGCGCCCCGUCCAGGAAAUUUGGUGUCUCCUAGUAAAUCCCAUGUUCAGUAAGUGGUACCUUCAUCUUCCAAGGGACUCAAGCCAGAAAUCCAUACUAAGCCAAGUCUACAUUGAAGCAUUUCUGGAAUCCGGAGUCUUCUCUCCACUCCCAUGAACAACAAUUGCCUUAGCACAGGCCCCCGUUUGGAGUGUUGUAAAAACUUCCUAACUUGUCCCUUGUCCACUGUUUGCUUCCAGUGGAGUUCCCCUUAAAUCCCUUCCCCAUGCUGAAAGCCAAGCAAUCUAAAUGCAAAUAUGACCUAUUUAAACCUUCA